rnacentral:rRNA from 1 species
AGCGAACGCUGGCGGCAGGCCUAAUACAUGCAAGUCGAACGAAGUCUUCGGACUUAGUGGCGGACGGGUGAGUAACACGUGGGAACGUGCCUUUAGGUUCGGACUAACUUAAGGAAACUUGUGCUAAUACAGAAUGUGCCCUUCGGGGGAAAGAUUUAUCGCCUUUAGAGCGGCCCGCUUCUGAUUAGCUAGUUGGUGAGGUAAAGGCUCACCAAGGCGACGAUCAGUAGCUGGUCUGAGAGGAUGAUCAGCCACAUUGGGACUGAGACACGGCCCAAACUCCUACGCGAGGCAGCAGUGGGGAAUCUUGCGCAAUGGGCGAAAGCCUGACGCAGCCAGGCCGCGUGAAUGAUGAAGGUCUUAGGAUUGUAAAAUUCUUUCACCGGGGACGAUAAUGACGGUACCCGGAGAAGAAGCCCCGGCUAACUUCGUGCCAGCAGCCGCAGUAA